rnacentral:rRNA from 1 species
UACGUAGGGUGCGAGCGUUGUCCGGAAUUACUGGGCGUAAAGAGCUCGUAGGUGGUUUUGUCGCGUUGUCCGUGAAAACUCACAACUCAAUUGUGGGCGUGCGGGCGAUACGGGCAGACUGGAGUACUGCAGGGGAGACUGGAAUUCCGGGUGUAGCGGUGGAAUGCGUAGAGAUCCGGAAGAACACCGGAGGCGAAGGCGGCUUGCUGGACCUGGUCUGACGCUGAGGCGCGAAAGCGUGGGGAGCGAACAGG